rnacentral:rRNA from 1 species
UACAGAGGGGGCAAGCGUUAUUCGGAAUUAUUGGGCGUAAAGGGCGCGUAGGCGGCUUUUCAAGUGACGGGUGAAAUCCCUCGGCUUAACCGAGGAACUGCCUGUCAGACUGGAAGGCUUGAGACCGGGAGAGGUGAGUGGAAUUCCAGGUGUAGCGGUGAAAUGCGUAGAUAUCUGGAGGAACACCGGUGGCGAAGGCGGCAUCCUGGACCGGCAUUGACGCUGAGGAGCGAAAGCCAGGGGAGCAAACGGG